rnacentral:rRNA from 1 species
GUGUCAGCAGCCGCGGUAAUACGUAGGGAGCGAGCGUUGUCCGGAUUUAUUGGGCGUAAAGGGCGUGUAGGCGGCUUUUUAAGUCUGAAGUGAAACGCCAGGGCUCAACCCUGGAACUGCUUCGGAUACUGGGAAGCUUGAGUACUCUAGAGGGCAGUGGAAUUCCGGGUGUAGCAGUGAAAUGCGUAGAGAUCCGGAGGAACACCAGUGGCGAAGGCGACUGCCUGGGGAGAAACUGACGCUGAGGCGCGAAAGCUGGGGGAGCAAACGGGAUUAGAUACCCCGGUAGUCCCAGCCGUAAACGAUGAGUGCUAGGUGUAGGGGGUAUCGACCCCUCCUGUGCCGGAGUUAACGCAAUAAGCACUCCGCCUGGGGAGUACGGCCGCAAGGUUGAA